AUUGAGAGUUUGAUCCUGGCUCAGGAUGAACGCUAGCUACAGGCUUAACACAUGCAAGUCGAGGGGCAGCGAGGUUGAAGCUUGCUUCAACUGUCGGCGACCGGCGCACGGGUGAGUAACACGUAUCCAACCUGCCAUUCACUCUCGGAUAGCCUUCUGAAAGGAAGAUUAAUACGAGAUGGUAUCAUGAGUCAGCAUUUUCGCAUGAUUAAAGAAUUUCGGUGGAUGAUGGGGAUGCGUUCCAUUAGGCAGUUGGCGGGGUAACGGCCCACCAAACCUACGAUGGAUAGGGGUUCUGAGAGGAAGGUCCCCCACAUUGGAACUGAGACACGGUCCAAACUCCUACGGGAGGCAGCAGUGAGGAAUAUUGGUCAAUGGACGAGAGUCUGAACCAGCCAAGUAGCGUGAAGGAUGACUGCCCUAUGGGUUGUAAACUUCUUUUAUACGGGAAUAAAGUUCACUACGUGUAGUGUUUUGUAUGUACCGUAUGAAUAAGGAUCGGCUAACUCCGUGCCGGCAGCCGCGGUAAUACGGAGGAUCCGAGCGUUAUCCGGAUUUAUUGGGUUUAAAGGGAGCGUAGAUGGGUGUUUAAGUCAGUUGUGAAAGUUUGCGGCUCAACCGUAAAAUUGCAGUUGAUACUGGACGCCUUGAGUGCAGUUGAGGUAGGCGGAAUUCGUGGUGUAGCGGUGAAAUGCUUAGAUAUCACGAAGAACUCCGAUUGCGAAGGCAGCCUACUAAGCUGUAACUGACAUUGAGGCUCGAAAGUGUGGGUAUCAAACAGGAUUAGAUACCCUGGUAGUCCACACGGUAAACGAUGAAUACUCGCUGUUGGCGAUAUACAGUCAGCGGCCAAGCGAAAGCAUUAAGUAUUCCACCUGGGGAGUACGCCGGCAACGGUGAAACUCAAAGGAAUUGACGGGGGCCCGCACAAGCGGAGGAACAUGUGGUUUAAUUCGAUGAUACGCGAGGAACCUUACCCGGGCUUAAAUUGCACUGGGACAGUUCUGGGAAACAGAACCUUCUUCGGACCAGUGUGAAGGUGCUGCAUGGUUGUCGUCAGCUCGUGCCGUGAGGUGUCGGCUUAAGUGCCAUAACGAGCGCAACCCUUAUCUUUCAGUUACUAACAGGUCAUGCUGAGGACUCUGGAGAGACUGCCGUCGUAAGAUGUGAGGAAGGUGGGGAUGACGUCAAAUCAGCACGGCCCUUACGUCCGGGGCUACACACGUGUUACAAUGGGGGGUACAGAAGGCAGCUACCUGGCGACAGGAUGCUAAUCCCGAAAGCCUCUCUCAGUUCGGACUGGAGUCUGCAACCCGACUCCACGAAGCUGGAUUCGCUAGUAAUCGCGCAUCAGCCAUGGCGCGGUGAAUACGUUCCCGGGCCUUGUACACACCGCCCGUCAAGCCAUGAAAGCCGGGGGUACCUGAAGUGCGUAACCGCAAGGAGCGUCCUAGGGUAAAACUGGUAAUUGGGGCUAAGUCGUAACAAGGUAGCCGUAAUC
rnacentral:rRNA from 1 species